GGCAGCCGGAGCCGACCGGGCAAGACCCCGUUGCAGGCCAGCAUGCGGCCGGAGCAGAGCAUCGCCGGCGACGCUCCCAGCUAGAUACUCUCUUGUAAGGGGCCGGUAUGCAUGCCCUGGGUUAGUACCACCUCGCCUAGCCAAGGGGGCCGUGUUGCACUUAUAAGGGCGGGCCUCCCUCCUCUCUCAGCCUAGGUUUUGAGAGCGAGGUGCCUGUCUGAAUAGGCUGCGCGCGAGCGCAUGAACGCCCGACGCUGGUGAUGGUGGGCUUUGGCGGACUGGCCCAGUGGGUGCGUUACAAAUGGUAUCGGAGCCCACAUUGCCGCUGCUGCCUGGGAGAGCUUUGGGCCUCUUAGGGGGGUGGGAUGUAAGGGGCCGGUAUGCAUGCCCUGGGUUAGUACCACCUCGCCUAGCCAAGGGGGCCGUGUUGCACUUAUAAGGGCGGGCCUCCCUCCUCUCUCAGCCUAGGUUUUGAGAGCGAGGUGCCUGUCUGAAUAGGCUGCGCGCGAGCGCAUGAACGCCCGACGCUGGUGAUGGUGGGCUUUGGCGGACUGGCCCAGUGGGUGCGUUAC
rnacentral:lncRNA from 1 species